UACGAAGGGGGCUAGCGUUGCUCGGAAUUACUGGGCGUAAAGCGCACGUAGGCGGCUUCUUAAGUCGGAGGUGAAAUCCUGGAGCUCAACUCCAGAACUGCCUUCGAUACUGAAGAGCUCGAGUCCGGGAGAGGUGAGUGGAACUGCGAGUGUAGAGGUGAAAUUCGUAGAUAUUCGCAAGAACACCAGUGGCGAAGGCGGCUCACUGGCCCGGUACUGACGCUGAGGUGCGAAAGCGUGGGGAGCAAACAGG
rnacentral:rRNA from 1 species